UUCCAGACUCCUACGGGAGGCAGCAGUGGGGAAUAUUGCACAAUGGGGGAAACCCUGAUGCAGCGACGCCGCGUGAGCGAUGAAGUAUUUCGGUAUGUAAAGCUCUAUCAGCAGGGAAGAAAAUGACGGUACCUGACUAAGAAGCCCCGGCUAACUACGUGCCAGCAGCCGCGGUAAUACGUAGGGGGCAAGCGUUAUCCGGAUUUACUGGGUGUAAAGGGAGCGUAGACGGCUGUGCAAGCCAGAUGUGAAAGCCCGGGGCUCAACCCCGGGACUGCAUUUGGAACUGUGUGGCUGGAGUGUCGGAGAGGCAGGCGGAAUUCCUAGUGUAGCGGUGAAAUGCGUAGAUAUUAGGAGGAACACCAGUGGCGAAGGCGGCCUGCUGGACGAUGACUGAUGUUGAGGCUCGAAAGCGUGGGGAGCAAACAGGAUUAGAUACCCUAGUA
rnacentral:rRNA from 1 species